rnacentral:rRNA from 1 species
AUAUCAAUAAGCGGAGGAAAAGAAACCAACAGGGAUUGCCCUAGUAACGGCGAGUGAAGCGGCAACAGCUCAAAUUUGAAAUCUGGCCUUCCGGUCCGAGUUGUAAUUUGCAGAGGAUGCUUUUGGCGCGGUGCCUUCCGAGUUCCCUGGAACGGGACGCCAUAGAGGGUGAGAGCCCCGUCUGGUCGGAUACCUAGCCUCUGUAAAGCUCCUUCGACGAGUCAGAGUUGGUUGGAAUGCUGCUCUAAAUGGGAGGUAUAUGUCUUCUAAAGCUAAAUAUUGGGGAGAGACCGAUGAGCGCACAAGUA